GGCUGUCCCAUUGACAGCCGCUAGAGGCGCUUGCGUGUUUCUCACUGUGAUUUUCACAGUGAGAGCACGCCAGCGUCCAUAGGAAAGCAUUAUGAAUGCUUUCCUAUGUGACCGGCUGAAUGCGCGCACAGCUCUUGCCGCGCGUGUGCAUACAGCCGACGGGGAGGAGAAGAGGAGGAUCGGAGGACUCUCCGCCCAGCGGUGGAAAAAGGUAAGUUUUACCUCUUUCCAGAGCCGGGCGGGUGGGGGUCCCUGAGGGUGGGGGCACCCUCAGGGCACUAUAGUGCCAGGAAAACGAGUAUGUUUUCCUGGCACUAUAGUGGUCCUUUAAAGGACUACUACAGACACCCAGAUCACAUCAGCUCAAUUAAGUUGUCUGGGUGUCAGGUCCCUCUAGUUUUAACCCUGCAGCUGAAAACAUAGCAGUUUCAGAGAAACUGCUAUGUUUCACUGAGGGUUAAUCCAGCCUCUAGUGGCUGUCUCAUGGACAGCCGCUAGAGGAGCACACUGAACGUCCAUAGGAAAGCAUUGAGAAAUGCUUUCCUAUGGGCGGUUUGAAUGCAUGCGCGGUCGCAUUCGGAGCUGAGAGGCUGAGGGAUCCUCAGCGCCAAGGGAGUCCGGCGCUGGAGAAAGGUAAGUGCUGAAGACACACACACACAC